rnacentral:rRNA from 1 species
GCAAGUCAAGGGGCUCUUCGGAGCACCGGCGCACGGGUGAGUAACGCGUGGGAAUAUACCAUUAGGUAAGGAAUAACGUAGAGAAAUUUGCGCUAAUACCUUAUAAUAUCUUCGGAUCAAAGAUUUAUCGCCUAAUGAUUAGCCCGCGUUAGAUUAGAUAGUUGGUGAGGUAAUGGCUCACCAAGUCGACGAUCUAUAGGGGGUCUGAGAGGAUGAUC